GACGAACUGCGCGAACGUUAUUCGGAAUUACUGGGCUUAAAGAGUCCGUAGGCGGCCACGCAGGUGGGGUGUGAAAUCCCACGGCUCAACCGUGGAAUUGCGCUUCAAACCGUGUGGCUAGAGGGAGAUAGAGGAGAGUGGAACUGAUGGUGGAGCGGUGAAAUGCGUUGAGAUCAUCAGGAACACCGGUGGCGAAAGCGGCUCUCUGGGUCUCUUCUGACGCUGAGGGACGAAAGCUAGGGUAGCGAACGGG
rnacentral:misc_RNA from 1 species